rnacentral:rRNA from 1 species
UACGUAGGGUGCGAGCGUUAAUCGGAAUUACUGGGCGUAAAGCGUGCGCAGGCGGUCUGCUAAGACAGGUGUGAAAUCCCCGGGCUUAACCUGGGAACUGCGCUUGGUACUGGCAGGCUGGAGUGUGGCAGAGGGGGGUGGAAUUCCACGUGUAGCAGUGAAAUGCGUAGAGAUGUGGAGGAACACCGAUGGCGAAGGCAGCCCCCUGGGCUAACACUGACGCUCAUGCACGAAAGCGUGGGGAGCAAACAGG